GUAUUGUAUCAACAUGGAUGAGACAGUUGGAUUUUUGUAAUUCAUUUCACAUUUAAGAGUUUUCUUUAUUCUGAUUGGUUGAGCAAGUAAUCUGUAAGCCUCUUAUAGUGAAAAUUAAUCGAGAUUGAGAUCGCAUCGUUGGUUGGUUGAAAAAAAACAGACACAUACACAAGACGUUGGAGGCGUAUCGUUUUCCAUGUAGAUUGGAUGAAGCAAUUGAAUAAAACUUAAAACGACAAGUUUGCAAUUUUGUGUAAAAUCAAAGGAUUGCGUUUGUUCUAAAAUUGUUGUAAGGAAACAGAGGAUUAAAAUCAUCGUUACCGGUAAUUUAAUCUACCAGUGAAAUUCUACACGUCAUAAUCUACCCGUACCAAUAGCAGUAUUCGGCCGGUAUCAGAAGAUAGUAGCCUUAGCUUCCAGUUGACCGAUUUCUUCAAAAAUAGACUUUGCCUCCAGGUCAUUUUUGAGACCUAGUAAAAACUUCCCUACACAGAUCUUGAAGACGGUAAGAUAACCAAGAAAGUUCAGCAGAGUCCAGCAUCAACGAGAAUAUUGACAAAACAAAACAUACAGCAAUUGAAACAACAGCGAUUUUGAACUAUAAAAAAAGAACAGCGAAUGUUUAAAAUGACGACGAUCAUACGUGUCACCAGAUAGCCAUAACUUACAACUAACGGUUUCUCAUAUAAUACAGCAACGAUUCCUAACGCAGCACUAAGCAUCAGCUAUAAUAAAACAACACCAGAUCAUUAUUAAAA